GGGUGAGUAACACGUGGGUAACCUGCCUGUAAGACUGGGAUAACUCCGGGAAACCGGGGCUAAUACCGGAUGCUUGUUUGAACCGCAUGGUUCAAACAUAAAAGGUGGCUUCGGCUACCACUUACAGAUGGACCCGCGGCGCAUUAGCUAGUUGGUGAGGUAAUGGCUCACCAAGGCGACGAUGCGUAGCCGACCUGAGAGGGUGAUCGGCCACACUGGGACUGAGACACGGCCCAGACUCCUACGGGAGGCAGCAGUAGGGAAUCUUCCGCAAUGGACGAAAGUCUGACGGAGCAACGCCGCGUGAGUGAUGAAGGUUUUCGGAUCGUAAAGCUCUGUUGUUAGGGAAGAACAAGUACCGUUCGAAUAGGGCGGUACCUUGACGGUACCUAACCAGAAAGCCACGGCUAACUACGUGCCAGCAGCCGCGGUAAUACGUAGGUGGCAAGCGUUGUCCGGAAUUAUUGGGCGUAAAGGGCUCGCAGGCGGUUUCUUAAGUCUGAUGUGAAAGCCCCCCGGCUCAACCGGGGAGGGUCAUUGGAAACUGGGGAACUUGAGUGCAGAAGAGGAGAGUGGAAUUCCACGUGUAGCGGUGAAAUGCGUAGAGAUGUGGAGGAACACCAGUGGCGAAGGCGACUCUCUGGUCUGUAACUGACGCUGAGGAGCGAAAGCGUGGGGAGCGAACAGGAUUAGAUACCCUGGUAGUCCACGCCGUAAACGAUGAGUGCUAAGUGUUAGGGGGUUUCCGCCCCUUAGUGCUGCAGCUAACGCAUUAAGCACUCCGCCUGGGGAGUACGGUCGCAAGACUGAAACUCAAAGGAAUUGACGGGGGCCCGCACAAGCGGUGGAGCAUGUGGUUUAAUUCGAAGCAACGCGAAGAACCUUACCAGGUCUUGACAUCCUCUGACAAUCCUAGAGAUAGGACGUCCCCUUCGGGGGCAGAGUGACAGGUGGUGCAUGGUUGUCGUCAGCUCGUGUCGUGAGAUGUUGGGUUAAGUCCCGCAACGAGCGCAACCCUUGAUCUUAGUUGCCAGCAUUCAGUUGGGCACUCUAAGGUGACUGCCGGUGACAAACCGGAGGAAGGUGGGGAUGACGUCAAAUCAUCAUGCCCCUUAUGACCUGGGCUACACACGUGCUACAAUGGACAGAACAAAGGGCAGCGAAACCGCGAGGUUAAGCCAAUCCCACAAAUCUGUUCUCAGUUCGGAUCGCAGUCUGCAACUCGACUGCGUGA
rnacentral:rRNA from 1 species